rnacentral:rRNA from 1 species
AAGGACGAACGCUGGCGGCGUGCCUAACACAUGCAAGUCGAACGGAAGUAAGUUUUCGGAUUACUUAGUGGCGAACGGGUGAGUAACGCGUGAGGAAAUCUGCCCUUAAGAGGGGGACAACAGAGGGAAACUUCUGCUAAUACCCCAUAUGAGCGUAGCUGAAAUGCUAUUCUUGAAAACUCCGGUGCUUAAGGAUGAGCCUGCAUCUGAUUAGCUAGUUGGGGGUGCAAUGGACCACCAAGGCGACGAUCAGUAGCUGGUUUGAGAGGAUGAUCAGCCACAAUGGGACUGAGACACGGCCCAUACUCCUACGGGAGGCAGCAGUAGGGAAUUUUGCGCAAUGGGCGAAAGCCUGACGCAGCAACGCCGCGUGAUUGAUGAAGCCCUUCGGGGUGUAAAGAUCUGUCAGUGGGGACGAAACUUGACGGUACCCACAGAGGAAGCAUCGGCUAACUCCGUG